CCGGAUACGGGGCGGGAGACGAGACAACGAACGUUUGCUCUCUUGGUGUUUGUCUUCUUUUGAACUGAGCGCGGUCGGCUCAGCCGGCGCCAUCUCGCCAACGGUCGUUGGCGGCUCCGUCUCCUCUCAGCCCCUGCAAGAAACUGCUCUCGAGCCCCCAUCGGACCCGACCGGCUCUGGCGUCUCGCCUCCACCGCUGAGACCCAAAAGGAUGAGCGACAGAAAAUCAAAUUCCUGAGCAGCAUCUGCGUACUGUGCAAAUGCAAGGACACGUCACUCGACUUGAAUACUUUCUGCCGAGAAAACCAGCUGGCAGAGAAUGUCCAGGCGCUGAUCGAUGAGGAGGCCAUGCACGCUUUGUGCUCAGUGAUAAAGCAGAAAGUCAUGCUGACCUUUGCUGACAUGAGCACUGUGGAGACAGCACUGGAAGGCAAAACAGAGAGCAUCCUGAACUCCUGCUUCAACAGUGUCUUCUUUUUGCCUCCGGAACUGGACGUACCAGAAGAGGAGCAAACUCUCUACACUAAGACCAUGAUUGCCAUGAACGUCAUGCUGCGAGCCUUGGUGCACAACUGCCCCAGCUCCAGAAUGAGGGAGGAGAUGUGCAGCAUCUUUCAGGUCUGGCAGCUACGGAGAGUGGGGUCACUAGGAGGGUUCCACACCGCGAGGGAUGCGCGUGUCGCUCCUGCAGUGGCACAGACCCUCCUUGCCCCAGACAGUCCUACAAAGGAUCCCAUCCCUGCUGCUCUGCUCUGCUCUGCUCUUCCUUCCCAGUGGGGAAGAUCCCAGAGCUCCUGCUGGAGCCACGCAAGCUCCCAGGGAACAGCCCUGACAGAGGAGAUGGAAAAGUACGUGCAUCUCCGGGAGAAGCUGCAGGAUACUAAUUUUGCAUGCGAUAACUUGUGCAGUCCCAGUGAUUGUGCCAAGGCGUUUGGAGGAUACCUCAGGCCUGCUGAGAGGAUGGACGUCGUCCUCACAGCCCUUGAAGCGAUGGUUGACUCCAACAUCUAUGACAAGGAGGUGGCCUGCAGUGUGAUGGCCGUGGCCAUGGAAGACCACGCCUUCUGGCUAUCAGAUGUAAGCACCUUGGAGAAGGUUUUGAAGGAGCUGACCAAGGGCUCACAGCUGAGCAGGCUGCUAGAAGGAGUCACAGAAGACACGUGCAUCCUCUUCUUGGCUCUAAUGGCAAAGAGUGAAGAUAAUGAAGACUUUUUGGGUGACCUACGCCACCUCGAGACUUAUCUGAAGCAUCCAAGUGUGGAGAUGCGCACGGUGGUGCUCAGAGGGCUUGUCAUACUCUCCGAGACACGGGAGAAGGCAAGAAAAAUGGAGGUCGUGCUGCCAGAGAUCAUGGCCACCCUGCAGGCUGCCAGCGCAGACGUCAAGAUGAAGGCCCUGUUUGUCAUCCAAAACAUCAUGGGCCACGUGAAGAGGAAGGAGGCCAGCUCCAUCGCUGUGCAGCACGCUGAGGAGCUCCUGCCUCUCUUUGUCGAUGUAAGUGAGGCUGCUGAGGGAGGCAGAGCCCUCGCAGGGGCACUCUCACUGGCACUCGCACUGGGCCCUCCGCCCCCCUCGCUCCUCCUGGGGCUCCUUCCGGGCAGGGGAACAGCUGUGGGCCCUCGGAGAGCCCUGUGCCCAGCAUCUGCUCCCCGCAGUUGGCUUCCGGCCCUCCAUGCCUCCUCCGCUGCCUGUGCAAGGCCAGCCAGGCCUGGUCCCCACGCACGGUGCAGGAAGGUGGAGGCCUGCAGGCGCUGCGUGCCAUGGAGGCGGUGUGAAGGCGGUCCGGCCUCCUCGUGCUAAAAUUCUCUGCCUCUCCUCUGCUCCUGGCUGCAGAACAGUACAGCACAUUCCUCUGCACUCCCAAGGCCAUGGCUGUCCAAGCUGCUGGCUUGGCUGAGUGAAGAGGAAUUGUCUUAGGCCACAUAUAUGUACGCAGGUUUAAUGAAUGGAAGUAACAAACCUUCUUUGUGUAUAUGCAUGUAUUUAAUAAAAUCUUUUUAAAUAUUCA
ensembl:lncRNA